GACAGAGGAUGCAAGCGUUAUCCGGAAUGAUUGGGCGUAAAGCGUCUGAUAGGUGGCUUUUUAAGUCCGCCGUCAAAUCCCAGGGCUCAACCCUGACAGGCGGUGGAAACUACCAAGCUGGAGUACGGUAGGGGCAGAGGGAAUUUCCGGUGGAGCGGUGAAAUGCGUAGAGAAUCGGAAAAGAACACCAACGGCGAAAGCACU
rnacentral:rRNA from 1 species